ensembl:lncRNA novel transcript, antisense to LINGO1
CGUGGGCAUGCCUGCUCCAUACCCCUCCUUACCACCCCAACCCACAGCGAGACACCUGGAGUGGAGGACGGCAGACGUUCUCAUUAUUCCCAGUUGGCUGACGAAGAGACUGAGACCCAAAGGCCUUAGGGAAAUUGUCUAAAUUCACACCACUGAUGCGUGGCAGAGCUGCGACUGAGUCCCGGGAGUCUGGCUCCAGAGUGGUCAUAACUUCAACUACCACCUACACCUGCUGCCCCACCCAUGGCCUCGGCACUCCUUGAGGGCCAGGACCAGGACCACCUCUGUGUCCCUGGAGACAGCACAGAGUCUAGCAUGCAGCUGAGCUUAAUAACUAUUUGCAAAGUGAAUACAUGAAAAAAGAACAA